rnacentral:rRNA from 1 species
CUACGGGAGGCUGCAGUGGGGAAUAUUGCACAAUGGAGGAAACUCUGAUGCAGCAACGCCGCGUGGAGGAUGACACUUUUCGGAGCGUAAACUCCUUUUAUAUAGGAAGAAGAUGACGGUACUAUAUGAAUAAGCGCCGGCUAACUCCGUGCCAGCAGCCGCGGUAAUACGGAGGGCGCAAGCGUUACUCGGAAUCACUGGGCGUAAAGAGCGUGUAGGCGGGGGAUUAAGUUGGUUGUGAAAUCCACGGGCUCAACCCGUGAACUGCAUCCAAAACUGGUUCUCUUGAGUUCGGGAGAGGAGAGCGGAAUUCCCGGUGUAGCGGUGAAAUGCGUAGAUAUCGGGAAGAACACCAGUGGCGAAGGCGGCUCUCUGGCCUAGGACUGACGCUGAAGCGCGAAAGCGUGGGGAGCGAACGGGAUUAGAUACCCUCGUAGUC